AAGCCAACUCCAAGAUUAAUCUUCCCUGAAGAUCCGUUGAAGACUACAACGUUGAUAGGCUGGGUGUGUAAGCGGUGAAAGCCGUUUAGCUGACCAGUACUAAUAGAUCGUUCGUCUUACUUUACAA
rnacentral:rRNA from 1 species